CAAAAAGUAAGGGUUAUUAUGUCAUUAACUUUUUUUUUUUUUAAUGACUAGAGAAAAUUCAAAAGAACCAUGGACUGACUGUGAAUUGAAAGAUCAGGAACCAGCCCCUGCUUUGCCACUAACAAAAUACAUGAUGCACUGAGAAGAAAAUAUCACUUCUAUGCUAUUCCUGCUCCAAGUGCAUCACCUGAUUCUAAUUAUCAGAAAACAGCAGACAAAUCCAAAUUGAGAGGCAUUCUGCAAAAUAACUGGUCUGUGUUCUUCAAGAAUGUUAAGGUCAAGAAAGACAAAGAAAGACUGAGGAAGUGUUCCAGAUUAAAAGAGAAGCAGAGAGAUGCGACAACUACAUGCAAAACAUAAAUAUGGGAUUUUUCUGUUGUUAUAAAGGACAUUAUUGGGACAAAUAGCAAAAUCUAAGUAAGGUCUGUGGAAUAGAUAAUAAUAUUGCAUCAAUCUUAAUUUGAUAAUUGUUUUUCAGUUAUUUAAGAAAAUAUCCUAUUUUUUCUUAUUUUUAAGAACCUCACACUGACGUAUUCAGGAGCAAAUGAUGGUUGUCAUGUCUGCAACUAUCUCACAUAGUUCAGAGAGAGAAUGAGUAUGUGUGGGUGACACAGAAAGGGAGAGAAAUAAAGUAAAGGUGUUAAAAUGUUAACAUUGAGGAAUCUGGAUAAAAGGUAUAUUAGAAUUAUUGUACUAUUCUUGUAACUCUCAUAUGUCUGGAAAGUAUAUUAAAAUAAAAAA